rnacentral:rRNA from 1 species
CGGCGACGGGUGAGUAACACGUGGGUAACCUACCUAUAAGACUGGGACAACUUCGGGAAACCGGAGCUAAUACCGGAUAAGAUAUCGAACCGCAUGGUUCGAUAGUGAAAGAUGGUUUUGCUAUCACUUAUAGAUGGACCCGCGCCGUAUUAGCUAGUUGGUGAGGUAACGGCUCACCAAGGCAACGAUACGUAGCCGACCUGAGAGGGUGAUCGGCCACACUGGAACUGAGACACGGUCCAGACUCCUACGGGAGGCAGCAGGC